rnacentral:rRNA from 1 species
GACGAACGCUGGCGGCGUGCUUAACACAUGCAAGUCGAACGAAGAGCGACGGAAGCUUGCUUCUAUCAAUCUUAGUGGCGAACGGGUGAGUAACGCGUAAUCAACCUGCCCUUCAGAGGGGGACAACAGUUGGAAACGACUGCUAAUACCGCAUACGAUCUAACCUCGGCAUCGAGGAUAGAUGAAAGGUGGCCUCUACAUGUAAGCUAUCACUGAAGGAGGGGAUUGCGUCUGCUUAGCUAGUUGGAGGGGUAAGGGCCCACCAAGGCGAUGAUCAGUAGCCGGUCUGAGAGGAUGAACGGCCACAUCGGGACUGAGACACGGCCCAGACUCCUACGGGAGGCAGCAGUGGGGAAUCUUCCGCAAUGGACGAAAGUCUGACGGAGCAACGCCGCGUGAGUGAUGACGGCCUUCGGGUUGUAAAGCUCUGUUAAUCGGGACGAAAGGCCUUCUUGCGAAUAGUGAGAAGGAUUGACGGUACCGGAAUAGAAAGCCACGGCUAACUACGUG